rnacentral:rRNA from 1 species
CCAGACUCCUACGGGAGGCAGCAGUGGGGAAUAUUGCACAAUGGGGGAAACCCUGAUGCAGCGACGCCGCGUGAGUGAAGAAGUAUUUCGGUAUGUAAAGCUCUAUCAGCAGGGAAGAAAAUGACGGUACCUGAUUAAGAAGCCCCGGCUAACUACGUGCCAGCAGCCGCGGUAAUACGUAGGGGGCGAGCGUUAUCCGGAUUUACUGGGUGUAAAGGGAGCGUAGACGGUUUUUCAAGUCUGAAGUGAAAGCCCGCGGCUCAACUGCGGAACGGCUUUGGAAACUGAGGGACUAGAGUGCUGGAGGGGCAGGCGGAAUUCCUAGUGUAGCGGUGAAAUGCGUAGAUAUUAGGAGGAACACCAGUGGCGAAGGCGGCUUACUGGACUGUAACUGACGUUGAGGCUCGAAAGCGUGGGGAGCAAACAGGAUUAGAUACCCCUGUA